UCUCACAGUGCAGAGGAAGUGGAGAGCAGGUUGGCAAAGACAAGACCAAAACCACCUCCUUAUCAUCCAGAAUUUUUGUCCCCAUUGACUGGAAGAAGCAAGAUUUGCUAGCGAGGUGAGAAAACUAGAAUUCAGAAGCUGAGUUACUGGCUUGGUUGAUUCUAUUCAAGAUUCAGAGUUCCAGAGGAAAGGUAAAACGGACAUUGGCUUGGGCAAGAUAACCAUCUCUCAACUAGGGGCACAUGGAGAAGCACUCCAUGGAGUACCCACAGCAGAAGAUUCUCCAAAAGCAAAUUGGAUUGCUGACUAGCCAAAACACAACAAAUGUCUUCUCCAAUGGGUUAGACCAUGCGAGUUCUUGUUUCCAUAUGAAGGCUUUAUCUGGGAAAUAAAGAGGAAGCACUGAAGGAUUCUAAACAGAAGGGUGACAUGGUUAGAUUUGUGUUUCAACAUAAUCAAUCUUUGAAACCACCGAAGGGUAGACUGAGAGAGAGAGACUAGUUAGGAGGCUGAUUAAACAGUUGAGGAAAAAAACUUAGGAAGUUGUAAAACCUAUGAGAUUAUGAAAGGAUAAGGGGACCAAUUUGAGAGAUUAAGAAGUACCACAUGAGGAUUGGUAAAAGGAAAGGCUAUUGUGGCCUCCAGUUUUCCCCUAAGAGCUUUAUAGGGAAUUGUUGGAAAAUUAGGGACACUAAUAGGAAAAUAAAGGGACACUCUGAAAGACCCUCAUGUAAUAGGCCAAAUUUCAA